GGGUGUAAGGGUGAUCUAGCUGUGAUAUCCAAUACUCCACUGAUCUCCAGGGUUGAGUUGUCUGCUCAGGCUGGCUAUGUGGAUGUGCUCCUUCCUGCCUCAUGGCCCCACUUAUGCCCUUUACAAAGCUGUAUCAUCAGUUGACGAAGACAGCCCUUCCCAGGACAGGAGGAUCAUUCUCCAGUGAAGGGUGUGUACGUAGCUGGUCAGACUCCCCUGCUGGAACCUCUAAACAAGCUCGCAAGAUGUCAUGGAGGUAACAUUCCUAGGCUGCCCAUCCUACC
rnacentral:snRNA from 1 species